GUUCAGAGUACGUGAAACCGUUCAGGGGUAAACCUGAGAAACCCAAAAGAUCGAAUGGGGAGAUUCAUCGUCAGCUCAUUUUGUAUAUGUAUAAGUUAUGAUGUGGGUUACUACUUGUAGUAUUGCCUAUACAUUCUUAUAUAUUUAGUUGCAAGAUGUUGUCGGCGUGCACUUCUCCCCUAGUAGGACGUCGCGACCCGUUGAGUGUCGGUCUACGGCCCAAAUGGUAGACUUUAAUAUUUUGUAAAAAAUAUAUUAAAGACCUUUGGUGUUUUCUGACCGGCUACUCGGCGGUAUUCGUAUGGUAUUAUGGUAGA
rnacentral:rRNA from 1 species